CAGAAUGUCCUUUGUGAAGAUGACAUCAUAGGUGUCAGAGUCUCCAUAGUGUACGAGAACUGCUUAAGACAACUGGCUACAUUUCUGAUCCUGCCUGUGGAUAAAUGCACUGGCCUUCUGAGGACUGGUGCGCCGUGCAACUCUGUUGCACCCUCUGAGAUCAACAUCACCACCAAGGGCACAGCAGCUACUAUCGAAUGGAUUUGUCCUAAUGGACACAGCUUGUGGAGGUGGAAUUCCCACCCUGUGAUGAACAUUGGGAUGCAAGCUGGAGAACAACUACACAAAGGUUGCCCUCUUGUUCAAAUUCAUGAACAUGGGGAUGAGGAACAGGAACACCUUCUACUCCAUUCAGGACACUUACUGUGUCAAUUCAAUAAAGGACUUCUGAGAGAGAAGAAAGAAGGACAGAGAUUUUUUGUCGCCUUCAAGGGAAAGAGAUUGGUGUCCUAGCGCAUGGCAGUAAUGACUCUCCUGGUCACUGUGCAUAAUACUGCAGCUACACCACCAUGGAGAAUGACACCAAGGAGAUCAUUCAUGUUGCCACCAUAGACAAGCGGCAAACAUCAUGGAACUCUGUCGUCAUGGAGAAGGAGGGUUUCAUCCAGACUGUGGACAAGCUUACAUCAGAGAUAAAGCUAGUGGAGAUCUGCACAGAUGCUCAUGCCCAGAUCGGUGCCCUUAUGAGCAGCAAAGAUAAAAGGACAGUCCAUCCUCUUCAACUGGCUGAAGGACAUAGUCAACCAUUUUUGGUGGUGUUGCAAGACUGCCGACACACGUGGGCAGUUUCUUGAAAGCACACAAUUUUAUUAUAUCUUUGAGUAAUUUAAUUAAUUGCUAUAUUAAGGACAUAUUUAUAGUGCAUUUUUAUGUUUUGCAGGCAUUAUGGGUUGGCAUCCUUCACCAUGUCUGCAGCAUUCACACCUACACUAUGGGAAGCUGCAAACAUGGCACCUUGAAUCGGAGCAAAUGCGGGGAAAGAUGUGGAUCCAGAGAGACUCCCUGUGCCACAAAGCUUUGGUGGAUAUAGUUCUCAAUAAGAGGUGGCAGAAAGAUGUACAAAUCAGAUCGACUGCAGACCUAGAGUCAUUCCAGAAUCAUAUCCUGAUGUAUGCCAGCAAGUGCUAUGCUUUCAGACCCCCAGUUUAUGAGGCAAGAGUUCUGCUUGCUGCUUUGGAAUACAAUUUCCACCGGAACCGACCAACAAUGGAAACGUUGGACGGCAAAGAGAUGGACGUUUUACACUUAUAUAAUAUUCCCAUUCAUAGUACAAUAUUCAGCCAAUGUUUUAUAUGCAAUUGAUUGUAUUACACCCAAGGUUUUCUCUUGUUCUACUUACAAACUGAUAUUAAAUGGUUGUAAUUUGUGUAAUUUCAGUUUCAAAAGAUUGUAUAAGAAGAACACUAGAAGAUAACACUGUAUCUUCUAGUGUUCUUCUUAUACAAUCUUUGCCUUGAAAUCUGAAAAAACCUACGGAUACAUUUCCGAGUAGGAUUGUGAAGAACAGACUCAUAAGUGGAGUGGGAAUGCCUAGAAGGAGGAGCCUUCGACCAGAUGACCCCAGACAGCUUGGUUUGGUGCCCCCCGUACCUACACCAGCCACAUCAGACUUGUUGCAGAGACUUGUUGCAGAGACAAGUCAGAAGAGGUCUAGGACCGUUAUUCCAACCAGCAUCUGAUGUGGAAGGAUCCCCAUAGGAGAUCACCUUGCAUGAGUCCUGGUUCUUGUCAGGCAGGAUCACAAGGGAAAGAACUUCAGUUCACUGACAAAGUCAUAGCUUUAACUCUUCAAAAAGAGAAAUUUAUUAACAUUAAAUUCUGUUCCUACCCUC